rnacentral:tRNA from 1 species
AGCCCCGUCGUCUAGCGGUCAAGGACGAAGGCCUUUGAAGCCUUUUACGGCAGUUCGAAUCUGCCCGGGGCUA